CCCUGCCCUUUGUACACACCACCCAUCACUACUACCAAUUGAAUGGCUUAGUGAGGCUUUCGGAUUGGAUUUUGGCAGCUGGCAACAGCACCUAGAAACUGAAAAGUUAUCCAAACUUGGUCAUUUAGAGG
rnacentral:rRNA from 1 species